CUACAUCGCGUAAGGAUACAACAUCCAAAGAAGUUAGCGGUUUAAGCGUUAGCAUAUAACUCAAGGAUAGAGGAACAAAAUAAUAUCAUGAUAAUAGUUUAAACCAAUACAACAUCCAAUGUGUAUUAUCAUAUGAAGUAUGUAUACAUAUACAUAUAUACAUGCUGGGGUGGUGAGCAGGGCUUAGCAUGAACUUCAAAGAAAAUUUUAACCUGAGUUGUGAAGC
rnacentral:lncRNA from 1 species